rnacentral:rRNA from 12 species
ACACCCGAGCGCGUGUGCCCGCUCCCGUCUGAUCUCGACAGCUAAGCAGGGCUGUGCCUGGUCAGUACUUGGAUGGGACACCACCUUGGAAAGCAGGU